CCCACUCAGGGCACACCUAUAUAAAGUGUUUUUGGAUCUAAAUGGAUCAGGACUGAUGUAGCAGUAGACCUAGUUGCAGUUCCAUGGAUUUUAUAUAUCGGCAUAAGUAUGUGGCACCAAUGUGUUGUAAACUGUUACUGUUACCAUGAUUCUGAGGCAUGAGAAACCCCAAGAUACCCUCACACUAAAUUAAACCUAAUCCAACCUAGCCCCAACAUGCUGCCUGGUUGUCUUUUUUUAUCUUAUAAUGCUUCGUUUUACAUUUCCUAUCUCCUGAUAUCAGCUCCAGGAAACACAGAAAUCAUUAGCUUCCAACUGACAUCUUAGCAAAGGGCGCUGGAAGGACCAUAUCUACCCCGAGAGCAACCACUAAUCCCUAGCAUUCACUGACUAUGUCCCUUAUUUAGGGCAUCUAAAACUAGAGCAAUAUGCCACUGUUGCUCACUUUCCUUUAAAACAUUAACCUGGGAACAAGUUAGUCCUUCAAAUGUGCUUCCUUACUGUAGUAUAUACUUUCUACUAUACUCUGUAAUACGAACUAGUCUGCCACUCAGAGCUACUAGAUAGGUCCUCUGUAUAAGGUAGGCUAUGAGGAGAGACUGCAGAUGUGGCCAAAAUAGUUAAAAACAAAAAGUUAGCAUUUAG